rnacentral:rRNA from 1 species
GACGAACGCUGGCGGCGUGCUUAACACAUGCAAGUCGAACGGAGAGGCCCUGCUUUGGUGGGGUGCUCGAGUGGCGAACGGGUGAGUAACACGUGAGUAACCUGCCCUUGACUUUGGGAUAACUUCAGGAAACUGGGGCUAAUACCGGAUAGGAGCUCCUGCCGCAUGGGGGGGGUUGGAAAGGUUCGGCGGUUGGGGAUGGGCUCGCGGCUUAUCAGCUUGUUGGUGGGGUAGUGGCUUACCAAGGCGUUGACGGGUAGCCGGCCUGAGAGGGUGACCGGCCACAUUGGGACUGAGAUACGGCCCAGACUCCUACGGGAGGCAGCAGUGGGGAAUAUUGCACAAUGGGCGGAAGCCUGAUGCAGCAACGCCGCGUGCGGGAUGACGGCCUUCGGGUUGUAAACCGCUUUCGCCUGUGACGAAGCGUGAGUGACGGUAAUGGGUAAAGAAGCACCGGCUAACUACGUG